GAUGAACGCUGGCGGCGUGCUUAACACAUGCAAGUCGAACGAAAAGUGAAGACGGAAACCUUCGGGCGGAAGGCUUUAUUUCGAGUGGCGGCCGGGUGAGUAACGCGUGGGUAACCUGCCUCAUACAGGGGGAUAACAGUUGGAAACGACUGUUAAUACCGCAUAAGACCACAGCACCGCAUGGUGCGGUGGUGAAAACUCGAGUGGUAUGAGACGGACCCCCGUUCGAUUUGCCGGUUGGCGGGGAAACGGCCCACAAAAGGGACGAUCGAUAGCCGAGCUGAGAGGAUGACCGCACACAUUGGGACUGAGACACGGCCCGAACUCCUACGGGAGGCAGCAGUGGGGAAUAUUGCACAAUGGGGGAAACCAUGAUGCAGCGACGCCGGGUGAGUGAAGAAGUAUUUGGGUAUGUAAAGCUCUAUCAGCAGGGAAGAAAAUGACGGUACCUGAGUAAAAAGCCCCGGCUAACUACGUG
rnacentral:rRNA from 1 species